ACCGGGAGUGCCAGCGGACGGGUCCGCUCGCCAACCCGGUCAGGUCCGAAAGGAAGCAGCCGUAACGAGUCCGGCUUGGGUCGUCGGCUCUCCCACCCAC
rnacentral:SRP_RNA from 1 species